GAGACAGCAGUCGCCACGGUAAUACGGAGGGUGCAAGCGUUAAUCGGAAUUACUGGGCGUAAAGCGCACGCAGGCGGUUUGUUAAGUCAGAUGUGAAAUCCCCGAGCUUAACUUGGGAACUGCAUUUGAGACUGGCAAGCUAGAGUCUUGUAGAGGGGGGUAGAAUUCCAGGUGUAACGGUGAAAUGCGUAGAGAUCUGGAGGAAUACCGGUGGCGAAGGCGGCCCCCUGGACAAAGACUGACGCUCAGGUGCGAAAGCGUGGGGAGCAAACAGGAUUAGAUACCCGGGUAGUCCCUGUCUCUUAUAC
rnacentral:rRNA from 1 species